rnacentral:rRNA from 1 species
UACGUAGGGUGCGAGCGUUAAUCGGAAUUACUGGGCGUAAAGCGUGCGUAGGUGGUUCGUUGUGUCUGUGGUGAAAGCCCCGGGCUUAACCUGGGAAUGGCCAUGGAAACUGGCGAGCUGGAGUGUGGCAGAGGGGGGUGGAAUUCCGCGUGUAGCAGUGAAAUGCGUAGAGAUGUGGAGGAACACCGAUGGCGAAGGCAGCCCCCUGGGUCAAAACUGACGCUCAUGCACGAAAGCGUGGGGAGCAAACAGG